rnacentral:rRNA from 1 species
GACGGAGGGUGCAAACGUUGUUCGGAAUCACUGGGCGUAAAGGGCGCGUAGGCGGACUUGUAAGUCGGGAGUGAAAACUCGGGGCUCAACCCCGAGCCUGCUUCCGAAACUGCGAGUCUUGAGGACCGGAGAGGAAAGUGGAAUUCCUAGUGUAGCGGUGGAAUGCGUAGAUAUUAGGAAGAACACCAGUGGCGAAGGCGACUUUCUGGACGGUUCCUGACGCUGAGGCGCGAAAGCUAGCGGAGCAAACAGG